UGGAGGUCUUGGGUUUCUCUGAAGUUAGUGAAUUCAGUGCUUAUGUAAAAGGCAUGCCAGAGUUCCUGCGUACAUAUCGAUUGCUCGUAGGAUUAUUCAUUCAACUAUGAGGUACACGAGAUCACCGGUCGUGAAGUGGAGCUCUUGACUUGUCGGCUACCAAAAGGCAUUGAGUCAUUGAUAAUAUGCGAGGUUCAUGGCUUCGGGAGCUUAAAUGACUUAUCUUCGUUGCCCUUACCACUUUCACUGACUUGACGUACUGUGAGAUUUCCUUCUGCAAGCCUUCUGCUCUAUAUGGAAUCUUGGAGAAAUCAACAUUGAAGGGAUGCACACAAAUGGAGGAAAUUGUAGCUAACGACGAGUCGAAGGAAGGAGGACACGAUACUGGGCUGCAGCUAUAUGAUUGAUUUGUCGGGGAUUGAGAACCAUAUGCAGUGUGAAUGCGCGACCAGGUGGGCAGGAGUCGCUUAAGUGAGACCAUCCCAACGGUAAGGAGCUCUUCCAACCAUACGUUGACUGUUGGCUCGAUUAGAUUCGGUUACAAGCCAAAUCCAAGCACGUUUUUCUGUUGAGUUACUGCCUAUAUUGAAUUUCCCUUUUGGAUUAGAGACACGAUGAUACUUUGAUGAAUGAUGUGAUUUGAAGCAUCUGAUUUGCACAAAAAUAUAGUUUUGGUUGAUGAAUGUCAUUUAGUAGUUUGAAUUGAAACUUUGCAUCAGUAAGUCUUGCCAUUUUAUUUAUAAACAAUCUAUGCAGCAAUUGUUAAGAUCAUGAUGUGUCAUGAGCACUUUUUGGGAGUAAAAAAAAAAUGACAGUCUGCAGAUAAAGAAACAAAGAUUAGCACUCUGAAGUAACUGCCAAUCCCAAAAUCAAUUAAUAUAUAAUAUAUUAAAGUGGAAGAGUGGAACCCAUAAAGCUGCAUUCGGGAAUCCUCAGCUCGUGAUCAAAUAUCGAAAACCUUCAGCACUUCGUAAAAGGACUGCUCAGUUGCUCUCAUAAUGCGGCAGCCUCCUCUUCUUCAUCUUCCCAUUCGACUAUUCGACUCUGUACAUCUCCCUUCUUCAUCUUUGUUCCAAACCAAAUUUUAAAAUAUUGACCGUCAAUGAUAAUUAAAUAUGUGGAGCCUCAUUUCUGCCUCCCAAUGCAUCGUCUCUGCCCUUCGAGUUUAAUUCACUUCGCCUCCGUUCGUUCCUCUUCAACAGCUAUAUCUGAUCUUCUGUAGCAAUAUCCGAUUCCGAGCGUACUAUGUCGUCGACAAUAUCAUCAGGGUAUCAGCAGCUCAUUAAGCUCUACGCAAAAUGACUUGAGCACCAUGUUAGGGAUGAAGAGUGAUUCUUGUUGCCGGAGCAUGGGCAUAAGAUACAGAGCUCGAAUGAGAACCGUUGCAGUAUCAUUGCCAUUGCCGUCUUCACUUCGAUCAAUGCAAAAGUUCAUCCGGAUGCAGAUUUGAGGGCCCCAGCCGAACUGGAAGUACAUAACUCGGUUGUUGGUCACCUUUGAGAUUCCUUCCGAGAACCUCUCGGGCUCGAAUUCCUGGGCAUCUUCUCCCCAGAGCUCUCUAUCGUGGUGGACAAGUAACACAACCAAUGACUGUUCUACUCCUGCUGGUAUAGUUAGGUUCCCGACUUUCAUUUCCUUGUGGAUGAACCAACCGAUCGAUAUCAGUGGCGGGUAUAGCCUUAAAACCUCAUACAGGAUCAUCGUAAUCUGUGAAAAAAAUAUGUAGAAGAGAUUAUCACCAAGCUCUUAAGGUCAGAAAUUGGUUCUGCUUAAUUUACGUAAAUAGAAAAGUUUCGACUUACGAUCUUUAGGUGAUUCAGCCCAUCUAUGUCGAGUGUUCCAUCUCUUCCAAAUGCCUGCAGAACCUCCUCUCUUGCUCGGGUUUGCCCCUCAGGAUGAACACUCCGUAGUAUCAAUGUCCAACACAAGGGAGGACCGAGGUUGUCUCUUGCCCGGCAAAAUAACUCAUCAAUCAGGUCUUGAGUACUCAGCCCCGUGUACUUGUUAGAGUAUUUUACUAUUUUUUUGCACGGCCGGAUGUGAUUUGACACUUCUGUUGCCGCAUCAGUAAAAGUUGAUUGCAAUAAAGCGGAAUGUAUUUGAUUGAAAUAUUUUUAAAAUGUUUUGUACCAUUGCUAUUAAUUUUUUUUUUUGCACCGAUCGUUAAAUUUUUCAAUUUUUUUUU